ACAUACGCGUAGAGUUUGAUCAUGGCUCAGAACGAACGGUGGCGGCGUGGAUAAGACAUGCAAGUCGAACGGGAUUUUAUUUGUAGCAAUACAAGUAGAGUUCAGUGGCGUAAGGGUGCGUAACACGUGGGCAAUCUGCCCAGGGGUGCGGGAUAGCUCGGCGAAAGUCGAAUUAAUACCGCAUGUGGCUACCGAGGAAUUCCUCGGGACGCUAAAGACGGCGCAAGCUGUCGCUCCUGGAUGAGCCCGCGGCCUAUCAGCUAGUUGGCGGGGUAACAGCCCACCAAGGCUAUGACGGGUAGCUGGUCUGAGAGGACGACCAGCCACACUGGAACUGAGACACGGUCCAGACACCUACGGGUGGCAGCAGUCGAGAAUUUUUCUCAAUGGGGCAACCCUGAAGGAGCGACGCCGCGUGGAGGAUGAAGGCCUUCGGGUCGUAAACUCCUGUCAUUUGGGAACAAAACUUUGGUUUAACUGACCAAAGCUUGAUAGUACUAGAAGAGGAAGAGACGGCUAACUCUGUGGCCAGGCAGCCG
rnacentral:rRNA from 1 species